rnacentral:rRNA from 1 species
AGAGUUUGAUUCUGGCUCAGGAUGAACGCUGGCGGCGUGCUUAACACAUGCAAGUCGAACGGAACUACUCCGAUGAGAAUCUUCGGAAAGGAUUUGGUUUAGUUUAGUGGCGGACGGGUGAGUAACGCGUGGGUAACCUGCCCUAUACAGGGGGAUAACAGUUGGAAACGACUGUUAAUACCGCAUAAGCGCACAGGAGCGCAUGCUCCGGUGUGAAAAACUCCGGUGGUAUAGGAUGGACCCGCGUCUGAUUAGCUGGUUGGCGGGGUAACGGCCCACCAAGGCGACGAUCAGUAGCCGGCCUGAGAGGGUGAACGGCCACAUUGGGACUGAGACACGGCCCAAACUCCUACGGGAGGCAGCAGUGGGGAAUAUUGCACAAUGGGGGAAACCCUGAUGCAGCGACGCCGCGUGAGCGAAGAAGUAUCUCGGUAUGUAAAGCUCUAUCAGCAGGGAAGAAAAUGACGGUACCUGACUAAGAAGCCCCGGCUAACUACGUGCCAGCAGCCGCGGUAAUACGUAGGGGGCAAGCGUUAUCCGGAUUUACUGGGUGUAAAGGGAGCGCAGGCGGCGCGGUAAGUCUGAUGUGAAAGCCCGGGGCUCAACCCCGGGACUGCAUUGGAAACUGUCGUGCUGGAGUGUCGGAGGGGCAAGUGG